rnacentral:rRNA from 1 species
CCUACGGGAGGCAGCAGUGGGGAAUAUUGGACAAUGGGCGCAAGCCUGAUCCAGCAAUGCCGCGUGAGUGAUGAAGGCCUUAGGGUCGUAAAGCUCUUUUACCAGGGAUGAUAAUGACAGUACCUGGAGAAUAAGCUCCGGCUAACUCCGUGCCAGCAGCCGCGGUAAUACGGAGGGAGCUAGCGUUGUUCGGAAUUACUGGGCGUAAAGCGUACGUAGGCGGUUAUUCAAGUCAGAGGUGAAAGCCCGGGGCUCAACCCCGGAACGGCCUUUGAAACUAGGUAGCUAGAAUCUUGGAGAGGUCAGUGGAAUUCCGAGUGUAGAGGUGAAAUUCGUAGAUAUUCGGAAGAACACCAGUGGCGAAGGCGACUGACUGGACAAGUAUUGACGCUGAGGUACGAAAGCGUGGGGAGCAAACAGGAUUAGAUACCCUGGUAGUCCACGCCGUAAACCGAUGAUAACUAGCUGUUCGGGCACUUGGUGCUUGAGUGGCGCAGCUAACGCAUUAAGUUAUCCGCCUGGGGAGUACGGUCGCAAGAUUAAAACUCAAAGGAAUUGACGG